GUGAAUGUCGGUAGGUGGCUUUGUCAACAACAGUUGUAGUGCCUAAUUCUUCCGAUAGGCGGAUAUGCCAGCAAUACAAAUAAAACGUAAUCAUCUUUCGUGAAGUUAUAGUAAGAGUGAGUGGGCGUUAAUUAUGAAUACUGUAGAAGAAAGACUACAAAUGCUGAGUGUACAUCAACGGUAUACAUCAUACAAGGGACAGGUUGCGCAGUGCUAUCGCAGCGACCCUUCCAGGUAGUUGUAACACACGGCCAUCAGCUAUAAUUAUCUCAUUUUCUUACGCCGAUUUUAAAAUGGCGUCUUCAAGUUUAGAAUGUUGUAUAAUAAACCCACGAUACUACUGAGAAAGUUACAGCCUGUGAGUCCCUUUAUUUUUAAAAGCUUUUAAGGUUGUUGAUUGAGUUCUCUCAGUCUUAAUUAUAACCCGUCGUGACAUUUUGUUUCAUCAGUCAACGCACACGACUCCACCUACCGAGCAGCUUGUCAUCUAAGAAGCAGACGGAGUAAAGGGAAAACGGUUACAAAUGCAUCACCAGUUAGUUUUUUCUUCGGAAUGAAUUCUGGUUUCAAUAUAUCGGCGUCUUGUUAAUUCAAGUUUAAACAUCACAAAAUAUAAUAUAACCAAUAUGAAGGUAAAGUUGUACCUUGUACUUAAACACCAGGCCAUGAAGAUAUAUUCUUAACGCUGGCGUUACAUGGAUGGUGAGAUUUCACUUAUAUUUAAAUUCACGUUGCUUUGGUGACGAAAUGCAUAAACAUUAUGCAUUUUAUUUGUUUUUCCAGAAAACUAUAUGAACGAGCAGUUAAAUGUUAAAUAUUUACUAUAAAGAAAAACACACUCUUUAAGUACGUAAUUGGUGCAAGUAAGUAGGCUCGUCUAGAAGUAAACUGAGACUAGGAAGGCCUAUAAGCUCAGUUCAUGUCUCGGUACUAGAAUGCAGGAGACAGUCAUUGUAAUAUUAAUAGAAAAUUAAUCGAUUGAAAAUGAGACGGAGUUAAAAUAAUGAUGGUAGCAAAUGAAAAUUAAAUUCACAAAAACUUAAUGAAUUAUUAAGUUCGUGGAAUUCUUGCUACUGCUCAUUUCGAAACCAUUUUGAUCACAUGUCACAUAAAAGAAACCCAAGAUUAAAAUAUUAAUAAUAUGCAUAACUGAAAAAAAUACCUGUUGUUUAUAUGGGUACACAUAGUCUCUCUCACAUGGAAGGAAAGAACACAUAGGCUACAGAAUAUGGAUGUUUGGAAACAGGAUUUUGGGGGAGAAUAUUAGGUCCUAAGAGAAUCACAGCAGGAGCAUACUUAAGAGCUUCAUAAUUGGUGUUUUUUUUCAAAUUAAGCAGUUGACAACACUCACCUGGGAAAUGAUAAAUGUAUACAAAAAUUUAGAUGGAAAACGUGAAUGGAAAAGGCUGCUUAGGAGACCUAAAAUUAUUUGAUAGGGUAGUAUAAAAAUUAAUGUAAAGAAAUAUGUUGACUAAAUUCAACAAGCUCAUGAUAGGCUCUCGUGACGAUAUCUAGUGACGGGGGUGAUGAAAUGUCGGGUUAUAUAAAAGACGAGGAAAGUAUCACCUAGCUAGCUGAUAUACUGCCAGUUCUCAAGGAUUCCGCCCGCUUCAUCGGUUUAGUCUAUUAAGAGCUCUAAGGAGUUCUACACUGAAAUUUGCUAAAGACAUAAAUCAACUGCAGUUCUUUGGAUUGUCUCUCACCUUCUCUGCUGUUCAGUUCUACUCCGUCUCUAUUCUUCAUUAUCACCAUGACAGUAGGUGCCAGAGACUAAUGUAGCUUUAACACGGACAGUUUAUUUCGAAGAUUAAUUAAAAUGUUAUAUCAUCUGUUGUGAAGACGUAGUGUUACAAAUGAAACGGAAGUCUCCUUAGUAGCAGUGGCACUGAAAUAAUUUGGAAGAAGGUGGCCACUCACCCCUUUUAGGUUUUAUCACAACAUUAUCCCGGAGAGAUGAAGGAAAACUCCAAAAAAUAUCACAGUAAUCGGUCUCUGGAGAAGUAAUAAGGACUAGUUCAAACACCGUAACUGAUACAGCCCUCAGACUAUUGUAACAACAGCGGGUUACGAUUGAUUGAUAAUAAUAAAUAAUGUUACCUUACGAAUUAAAUAACUGUGGAACUAAACUGAAUAAUACAGACAUGCGGAUAGAACUGGCUUAACUUGUGUUAUAUGACUGAAUAUCGAAAAAGUAGUUGAAACAUAAGAUUCGCAUGCCUAUAACUUACCUGCGGCUCGUGAAUUGUGAGAACGGUGGCUUACACUGAUUUUAGAUAGUUCUUUUCCUGAGUAAUGAAACGUAGCAAUAAGAAUUAACAAUUAGGACAAAUACCAACUGAGAGCACCUGAAAUGAUUUAAAAUCCUUGUUGUCUAUGAUUUCAGAUGUAAACUCCAGCUUUAAAAAUUAGUUAAGUGCAGAAUAAACUUUGAAAUUGUAAUUUUACUAUACAUUUUAUUUUUAGGCAGGAGUUACAAAUGAAAUUUGCCAAUUAAAUAAUCUAUUUAAGUAAGCCUUCAAAAUACAUGCGAAUCUACCCAAAAAUAAUAUAAGAAUUACAGCAGAUACAAUCAGGCUAAAUUGAAUCAGUUAAUUACGUUGAAGGUUCACGUAAAAAAAUCCUAAGCUAGAUGUGAUAAGCGAACAAACCAUAGAAAAAGAUAAACAAUCUUAAAGCACUGUAUUUUCCAUUCGACUUCAUUAACAAAUCAGUAUGCAGCAGUAAUGUCUACACUAUCCUGACUAGGACUGUACAUGCAGAUUGCCCUGUAACUAUAGACGAGUUCUGCCAUAUGCUGAAAUCUCUGACGAACAAGACGUGUCAUAGUUAAACAAAUGCUAUGCAUAAUGUUUUAUGUUGUUUCGCGCUGCAUGAUGUGGUCUUGCUUGUAUCCCUUCCCUUGCUUCGUUGUUUCUAUCGCCAAGUCAUGUAUUAUGUAGAUGUAAAAACACACUGAACCCACAGGGUUCCUCUGAAGCAGCAUCAGUUGUGGCCGUAACACGAAACGGGGAGGAAGGAAACAGCUGCAAAACACGGAAAAGAAAUCAAUGCAAAUUAUCGUACUGAGAUCCUUUUCGGAUAGAAAACAGAACGAAUAAAAAUCACAUCUAAUUUCUACCGCGUACUGGAGAAAAUAACAUUAUUAAUAAGGCGUAAUUAAUUAAGAUUAACUGGCUUCAUAGAAAUGAGUUCUUCUUGAGGAGCUGACGUAGUUAAGAAAUUUCCAUCUUUAAAGGAACCAGAAGGCUAAGGAUGUUGUUCCGGGUCGUGACGUAAUGAAGACUAGUAGAUACAGUCUUUUCGAAGAAACAGUCUCCAUUAUCCCUACAUUUCAGUCGCAAAAUGGAGACAAUGUUUGUCUCUGAGACGACCUACCUACGAGUCUACAUGGCGUAAUAAACCCGGAACAUCGUUAUCCCCACCGCAGUGAGAGACUCAAAUCCUGCAACACGAAGAUUCAUUGCGCGCUGCUUCACUGCAUCCUGAUCAGAUGAAUCCGACAUCCUGUUUAUUUAAGUUCCAUUUUAGUAUAAUCUAUCCACCUACUUUAGUUUUCUCAAGUAGGAUGCUCUUUACCAAUAAUAUUUUUCAUUUACAAUUGACUAUGCAUUGGCAAACUUUCCUUGAGUUCUACAUGCCCCGCCCAUCUCAUCUUCUUUGAUCGCUGUAAUAAAGAGUGAAUAUUAAGAAGCUCCCUAUUAUGCAAUACUCUUAUCUCCUUGAUAAAACCUUUUUCUUACUUUAAAAUAUUCUGUUCAAACAUCCUCAAACUUUAUCCAAUUCUCUAGGCAAUGCCCAGAACUCCGAUUGGUGUUCUCAAGGUGUUGAAUCAAGAUACGCUUUUCAUUGGGACCCCACCGUAACUUCAUAGUUUGUUGUGUUAGGACUUAUGUCUCAAGGAAUGAGCGUUGUCCACCCUAGACGAAAUUUUAAGUUCUCACAGCGGAGAAUUCAAAGAUGACAGCAUUUAGGGUUGUUCCACCCUGCAGUCCGGCAUAAGUUAUCCGAAAUUUGAGAGGUGCUUACUGCCUCCAUCAUCACUCACGGAUAACCAUCCCGGAAGACAGUCAUCUUCAUUGACCAUCAUGGCCUUUGAUUCUUUCGAAGUUGAACAGCUUUACGUUCCUUUUCUUAUCUUAUAAUUCAUGACCGAAUGUGUAUAAAUCGCAUGCAUUAGUCGGCCACAGAACGAGCUGUGCUAGAGUGUUGACAUAGACCACGCAUUCCUAGUAUAGCCUGCCACUGCAAUGUCUUGAAUCUCGUCUGGAAAGAGAGUAUUGUUGGAGAAAACGUGAGAUGAGGAUAAUAGGUCUUGAUUAAUUAUUAACUUUGCUGCCCGGGAGAAGUAAUUCCCAUCCUCUACCAGUUUACACCCCCUUCCCCCCCACAGCGAAGCUUGUUCCUUCGUAUGCAGCUAUUUCACUGCGUGAAACCAAAAGCUAUCAUAGAAUAAAGUGUAAUGCAGGGUUACUCAGCGGUAUAAAAUAUCAGCAGGGUAUACAGGCUACCACAAAACUCAUCCAAUUUCGUGAUUUAUGGAUUCUGUAGAACGUCUGUGUCAGUGGUUGGUUCUAACAAUUCCAUGUUUGACACUGUCAAUUGUCUGAGGUUGUCUAGUAAUUAGAGUUCUAUUUUAUUCUUCACAAGGUCGUUCAUUUGAUCCUAAACAUUGCUACUAAUAAAAUAAAAACGACAAUUUUAAUAAAUAUAACGAAGAGGGGUGUAGUGCCAACUUCCUAAACGCCUUGUAGACCAAAUAAAGCUAAGACAGUUGUCAAAGUGCAACACAAUUUUCUAAUAAACGUAUAACAACCACACUGACUAUCUGAAUCAAAACGAGACAAGAGUUAGAAAGAGCUGUAUGAGCAGGAUGCUUUGUUUAAAUGCUUUACAAAGCUUGUUGAAAAACUAAAUUUUUAAAUAAAAUGUGGAAAAAUUAAGAAUAAUCUAAUGUAAAUGAUAAAUACAGAGUGGAAUAAAAGGGUGGCUAUUGAAUGAAAAUGAGAAAAGGGUGUGAAAGGAAUAGGUAGUGACUAAUUUAUGACACUGUAACGGUAUUUAUUGGAGAGACUGAGAAAAACUACGAAAAAUCUCAGUCAACUAGAUGGUCUCUUAGCUGAUACUUGUAAAUAAAACAGUAAAAAUUUAGCACGGCGUUUAAAGGUACCACGAAAAGAAAACAUAAUUCGUAUUAGUGGGAAAAAAUUGGUAAAAAUAAUGAUUAUAUCUCUUCUAUCUCAAGAUAGAAAAUUUCGUCAUACUUUAUAAAGAGAUAACACAUUGUGAGAGUGAUGGUUUCGUGUUUUAACGUAUGUACCAUAAUUUGUCGUGACAAAGCCCAUCAACUGUUAAACCUCCGGUCUGGCUAUCAGUGCACCGCCGCGCCACCAAAAUUGGAGAAAUAUAAAAGAACUGUUUUAUUACAAAACAAUAGAAGCAUAAUACUAGCUUUCUAAUAUUAUAAAGUACCUUGCUGUUUGUGGGGUGGGGUAAGACUAUGUCUCAGUAAAGUUGUUGCCCCUAACGUGUCCAUUGUCCCUCCCGCAAAUAUAAGGUCUAUCGGAGUGAGUAUGGAGAAGCGGUGAAAUUAUAGUGACAGGAAAACAGGACCCUGAGAAAAACCUAUCCGAUUGCCACUUUGCCCACAGUAAAUUCCACAUGGACUGACCUAGAAGGGAACCUGGACUGCCGCAGUGAGAAACAGAUUAUGGUAUUGUGGUGCAAUUGUUGGGGAGAUUUAAUAAUAUUGCUUUUCCCCACUACCUGACUUCUGAACCUACCAGAAUUCGCCAAUGAUGACCUGGUAAUUUAUGAAGGUACUAGAUAAAAGUCAAUAACUCUAUUUUACGCUCUAUUCCUAUUUUCACCCUGAGAAACUGAACAAAAUAAAAAUGGAUGUUAAAAAUCCAUUACAGUCGAAAUUUAAGACUCCUUUCUUCUACGAUUACAUUAGAAAAAAUCCGUAGCGUUAAAUAAUAACCUGUUUGUAAGACAACGUAAUUGGUAGAAAAUGUUUGGUAAUCAAUAUUGCAAAGCUCAUCAUGCUUACUGCAAGGAAUUUAAUGUAGAAUUUAAGGCAUUCUUUUAAAGAGUAAAGAAAAAAGUGAUAACUUUUUUUAAGUUAAAAGAAAACUUAAAUUUGUAAUAAGAAUAUUUUUAAUAAAUUAAUAAAUUAUGUAUAAGCGCCUUA